CUCUCGGCCUCGGUAAACUCCAUCUCGUCCAUCCCCUCGCCCGUAUACCAGUGAAGAAACGCCUUCCGCCGGAACAUGGCCGUGAACUGCUCGCUCACCCGCUUAAACAUCUCUUGGAUCGACGUCGAGUUCCCCACGAAGGUGGACGACAUCUUGAGCCCCUUUGGAGCGAUGUCGCACACGCUCGACUUGACGUUGUUUGGGAUCCACUCGACGAAGUAGGACGAGUUCUUGUUCUGGACGUUGAUGAGCUGCUCGUCCACCUCCUUGGUGCUCAUCUUGCCGCGGAACAUCGCGGACGCGGUGAGGUAUCGCCCGUGU
rnacentral:lncRNA from 1 species